AGUCUGCAACUGCAAAGUUAAGAAGUUGCGAAGUGAUUUAGAGCGUGACUUUACAAGUGUCUGAAAGUGGUAUUAUUCUGGCGAUUUCUAUGUGUUAUGAACUCUCAAACAACAACUUGGCCUUCAUCAAACAGUGUAGGAUGGUUCAGGUUAUCUCAUUAAUUUAAUUGGCUCCCCUGGACAUGUUUGUUUUUCCUCUGAAGUUACAGCAGCUUUCCAUGCCAUUAAUGAUGUCCUUGAUGUGGCUGACUGUGUUUCAGGGUUUGUGUACAGGCAGAGGCUGUUCUGCAGAGACUGUUGCAGAAUGUAUCAAACCAAUACUGAUGAUGGACAAAAUGGAUCGUGCUUUGCUGGAAUUGCUGCUGGAGCUGCAAUGAGAAAAUUUAGCAAGACGUUUCAGUGUCUUGUGGAAAUUGUCAGUGUCAUCAUUUCCACCUACAGAGAGGGUGAAACUGGACCAGUGAGUAAAAUUAUGGUCUCAAAAACUGUGAUGCCAGAGGCCCUCUGAUGAUAUGUAUUUCCAAAAUGAUCCCCACAUCUGCCAAGGGGUGCCUUUGGGUGAGUAUUCUCUGGUAUCACUUCUACUCGACAGAAAGGUCAAAUUAUGGGACCAGAUUACACACGUGGCAAGAAAGAAGAUCAUUACCUAAAAUCCAUUCAAAGUGCAAUAUUGAAGAGUUUUGUGAACACAUCAUUGCUGGAGAAUGGGCUCUGCAUCCAGAAAUCUGCCUUAAAGAUCUGGAAGAAGAUCAUGCUUGUAUUCCAGUGAAGGUACUCAAGGAUUUUUGUGGACCACAGUGUAUAGAAUACGACUAAGUAUUAACCUUUGAAAAUAUCAUCUUAAUAUGCUGUUGUUGGUUUCCUUAGAGCAUCUUCCUUAAAGCAAUUUGAAACCUUUUAGGAAUUUGACCAAUUAAAUAAUGUAAGAGAUCUUUUACUAUUACAUUCAAAGACCUUAGAAUUAAGACAGAGAUG